rnacentral:tRNA from 2 species
CGGGGUAUAGCGCAGUCUGGCUAGCGCAUCUGCUUUGGGAGCAGAGGGUCGCAGGUUCAAAUCCUGCUACCCCGACCA